AAUCUUCCGCAAUGGGCGCAAGCCUGACGGAGCAACGCCGCGUGAGUGAAGAAGGUUUUCGGAUUGUAAAACUCUGUCCAUGGGGAAGAAACAAAUGACGGUACCCGUGGAGGAAGCUCCGGCUAACUACGUGCCAGCAGCCGCGGUAAAACGUAGGGGGCAAGCGUUGUCCGGAAUUACUGGGCGUAAAGGGCGUGUAGGCGGCUAGUCAAGUCAAUAGUGAAACCCGACGGCUCAACCGUCGGCUGGCUGUCGAAACUGACUAGCUUGAGUGCAGGAGAGGAGAGUGGAAUUCCCAGUGUAGCGGUGAAAUGCGUAGAUACUGGGAGGAACACCAGUGGCGAAGGCGGCUCUCUGGCCUGCAACUGACGCUGAGGCGCGAAAGCGUGGGUAGCGAACA
rnacentral:rRNA from 1 species